CAUUCAAAUUUCUGCCCUAUCAACUUUCGACGGCUGGGUCUUGGCCAGCCAUGGUGACAACGGGUAACGGAGGGUUAGGGCUCGACCCCGGAGAAGGAGCCUGAGAAACGGCUACUACAUCCAAGGAAGGCAGCAGGCGCGCAAAUUACCCAAUCCCGACUCGGGGAGGUAGUGACAAUAAAUACUGAUACAGGGCUCUUUUGGGUCUUGUAAUUGGAAUGAGUACAAUUUAAAUCCCUUAACGAGGAACAAUUGGAGGGCAAGUCUGGUGCCAGCAGCCGCGGUAAUUCCAGCUCCAAUAGCGUAUAUUAAAGUUGUUGCAGUUAAAAAGCUCGUAGUUGAACCUUGGGCCUGGCUGGCCGGUCCGCCUCACCGCGUGCACUGGUCCGGCCGGGCCUUUCCCUCUGGGGAACCGCAUGCCCUUCACUGGGUGUGUCGGGGAACCAGGACUUUUACUUUGAAAAAAUUAGAUCGCUUAAAGAAGGCCUAUGCUCGAAUACAUUAGCAUGGAAUAAUAGAAUAGGACGUGUGGUUCUAUUUUGUUGGUUUCUAGGACCGCCGUAAUGAUUAAUAGGGACAGUCGGGGGCAUCAGUAUUCAAUUGUCAGAGGUGAAAUUCUUGGAUUUAUUGAAGACUAACUACUGCGAAAGCAUUUGCCAAGGAUGUUUUCAUUAAUCAGGAACGAAAGUUAGGGGAUCGAAGACGAUCAGAUACCGUCGUAGUCUUAACCAUAAACUAUGCCGA
rnacentral:rRNA from 1 species